UGGCCCUAAGGACAAUGCAAGGGGCUGACUCCUUUCUGAGACAGGGGACGAAGCUGAGAGUGUGCUCGUUUGCUGCGAUGCUCAGGAAGACUAAGGGAUUUAAGUCUUCAGAGUGCACAUAUUCAGGCUUUAUUCUGAGCCUUUCAGGGAAGCAAAGAAGACACUGAGAUCCUCCUGUAAUCACCUGCCUCCGGGAGCUGCAACUCCACAGACAGUACUGGGUAUCAGAAGAGCUGGCAAAAUCACAGGGGUUCAGAGCUGUCUUAUCUGGCUGCGGCGGUUUUUACAUCUGGAGACUCUCCUGAGAAACCUCUCAUUACGCCUUUGGAAGAAAAGAAACACUUGCCAGCCAUUACCAUGUUGCAGGCUACACAGGACUCUGUCAGGCUUGUCAAAGCCAAGUGCUUUCUGA
rnacentral:lncRNA from 1 species